AAGCUACUAAGAGCACACGGAGGAUGCCUUGGUACAUGGAGGCGAUGAAGGACGUGGUAAGCUGCGAUAAGCUUCGGGUAGGUGCACACAACUGCUAAUCCGGAGAUUUCCGAAUGGGGCAACCCGUUUUGAGUUAUAUCAAAACACUUUCAUCUGAAUAUAUAGGAUGAAAAGAGCUAACGAGGUGAACUGAUACAUCUAAGUAACCUUAGGAAUAGAAAACAAAAGUGAUUCCCCUAGUAGUGGCGAACGAAAAGGGAAGAGCCCAAACUAAUACUGUGUCAAGUCUGCAAAUUUUGCAGUAUUAGGGUUGUGGGAUUAUUAUUAAUCC
rnacentral:rRNA from 1 species